CCUACGGUGGGCAGCAGUAGGGAAUCUUCCACAAUGGGCGAAAGCCUGAUGGAGCAACGCCGCGUGGGUGAAGAAGGUCUUCGGAUCGUAAAACUCUGUUGUUAGUGAAGAAAGUGCGUGAGAGUAACUGUUCACGUUUCGACGGUACCUAACCAGAAAGCCACGGCUAACUACGUGCCAGCAGCCGCGGUAAUACGUAGGUGGCAAGCGUUAUCCGGAUUUAUUGGGCGUAAAGGGAACGCAGGCGGUCUUUUAAGUCUGAUGUGAAAGCCUUCGGCUUAACCGGAGUAGUGCAUUGGAAACUGGAAAACUUGAGUGCAGAAGAGGAGAGUGGAACUCCAUGUGUAGCGGUGAAAUGCGUAGAGAUAUGGAGGAACACCAGUGGCGAAGGCGACUCUCUGGUCUGUAACUGACGCUGAGGUUCGAAAGCGUGGGGAGCAAACAGGAUUAGAUACCCGUGUAGUC
rnacentral:rRNA from 1 species